rnacentral:rRNA from 1 species
CGCCGGGGUCAACUCGGAGGAAGGUGGGGACGACGUCAAGUCAUCAUGCCCCUUAUGUCUUGGGCUGCACACGUGCUACAAUGGCCGGUACAAAGAGCUGCGAUACCGUGAGGUGGAGCGAAUCUCAAAAAGCCGGUCUCAGUUCGGAUUGGGGUCUGCAACUCGACCCCAUGAAGUCGGAGUCGCUAGUAAUCGCAGAUCAGCAUUGCUGCGGUGAAUACGUUCCCGGGCCUUGUACACACCGCCCGUCACGUCACGAAAGUCGGUAACACCCGAAACCGGGUGC